rnacentral:lncRNA from 1 species
AAUUUUCUCUAUUCUUUUCAUCUUCCCAGUUAUCAAUUUUCUGCUGCUUUUGUGCCAGGCUUGGAGCAGGACAUCCUCCUGAAGACUGUGAAUCCUCUCAGAGGGCUCCUCUCAAACCAGAGGACAAAGCAGUCAUCAGACUUGAGCAACAGCCCCCUCUUACCCCCACUUAUAGCACUGCAGGUGCUAAGGGAGAGGACUCCACCUUGAUCUCCUGAUCUCUAGCUCAGCUCUCUUUGCCCUCUUGUGUCCAGUUAGUGUCCUUCACUGAAUAGGGUCCAAGAACUAGAAAAGGCUGUCUUCUGGAGGCUCCUUUCAGCUUUCUUCUCCACCCAGAUGUCUCAGAUAAGAAAUUAUAAAGCCUAACUCAGGCAGAAAAUGAAGGAAGAGGGAAGAAGAAAAAGGAAAGAAGAGAUGUGUACAUUAAACAUAAAGUUUAUUUUUCUUUCUACUUCACACAGUGCUGCAAAGAACAAGAACUGCUGUAUCAAAGGUAACUGCAUUCACAGCUUUGCAAUGGUCACACUGCCAUCCAAGGAGGAACCAUCAAGAUGUGGAUACAAUCAACUCGGAAGAGCUCAGAGACCAGAGAAGAAAAAGCAAUCAACUCAAUCAACUCGGAAGAGCUCAGAGACCAGAGAAGAAAAAGCAAUCAACUCAAUCAACUCGGAAGAGCUCAGAGACCAGAGAAGAAAAAGAGGAGAAAGCUGAGCCCUAAGUUUGGAGGAAACGUCAACCUUUAAAUGGCUGCCUGCAACUGAAUAAACCCAAAGGAGACACACAGGAAGCAUCUUAGGGAAAAAGGAAAAAUCAGGCGGAAGUUGUGCCAGUAAAGUCAGGGGCAGAGGAAAGUGCUUUAGGAAGGAAAACUGUCAUUGGUGACACUUCGGUAUAAUAACCAAUGAGGAAGGCAGAUUGCUGUGUGCUGAGCAAUGGGUGGAUGGUAAGGAAGAGGAGAAAGCACAGAUCUUUUGAGAAAGCUGGUGUGAGUGGAAACAGCAAUGACGUCGAGGCAGCUGGUGAUAGACCCUAUAGGGCCUUGUUCACUUUGCUAGAAAAAUGGGGAUUUGCCCCAUUCUCAUUGUAAGCUAACACAUUUUUACACAGGAGUAUGAUAUAGUUGUUUUCUUAAAAUAGAUAAUUAAGUCUGGUAAGAGCGUGAAGUGGGUAGGCCAUGUUUGGGAAGGCACUGGCAGUGGGCAAUCUACUUAGUAGCUUGAGUCUGUUGCCACAAUCCAUGUUAGAGAGGGCAGGGCAGAAUACCAUUUAAACAAGGAUGUUAGAAUAAAGGAAACAGAAAGUCUGUUUUCUCAUACUUUGUCCUCACGUCCUUACACCAAAUCUUCAUUUCCAUCUACAUAAGAUACUAAAUUUAAAACAAUCCCUAUAGAGGAGUCUUUUUUCCCUUAAGGGAUUUUAAAAUGAAGAAUGAUGUUCUCAGUAAAAUAAUCGUGGAAAGAAGUACAGCAGUUUUAAAAAAGAACCAGUGGGAAAUAAAAAUAAUUAACUUUCAAAAUUCGAGGAAAGAAAACCACUGACAGAUUCUCAGUCACUCAGGAUUUAGGUUCAUUUCCCUUUAAUAGGUUGUUUACCAAAGGAACAAAACUAUGAUACUCACAUUUCAAUACUUUAAUGAAUUAAUAUCUAUUCUAAAUUAAGCAAACAAAAUGCUUUCUUUUAAUUGACACAGAAAGUACAUAGCUCUUAGAAUUCUUCAUGUAUUCCUCUUUAUAAUAAAUAAUGGAGCAACUAAAAAUCAUAGUCUAAAUAAAAUCAUGCUUUCCUGUUUGAUUAAAGCGUAAAAACUUUGAAAUGAUUAACCAUAAUAAGUAAUAAAAAAAAUCCACUCCAAGUAUGUUUUCUGUUUUUUUCCUUUAGCUUUCCCCUAGACAAUUUCCCAUAACACUAGGACAUGUCAAAAACACUUCUGAAAAUUGACAGUGUUUUAGAAUUAAUGAACUACAUUCCAGAAAUAUAAAUUUGACUUAGCUAAAGGGCAUAAAAAUAAAAUUUUCAAGAUGAGCCCAAAUGAUCUAGAAUUGAGGUAAAACAAAUAAAGCAGAGAAUAAAUGUACAUGUUAUGAUGUAAAAUAUGAAGGUUAUUAUAUAUUUAAGAAUUUUACCUUCUUAGUAUCAACAUAUGAUGCCAGCCCCUGUCAACAAGACAUUCAAGUUCCAUUGCAAUAGUGGACAUGGAUUUUUACUGACACUCCUCAGAAAGGUAGAAGGCAAGGUAAAUAGUAUUAUAUUAUUUAAGAGACAAAAACGGUUUAAGAAUAGGGAAAGUGUGAUAGAAAGAGAAUAGAUUCUGUGGGAGGUUUUUUUGUGCUUAAUAAGAUGACCAAAAUAUUGACAUGAAUUUUGAUUUAAAAAUCUAUUGUCUCCCUUGGAAGUCAUUAAAAAUGAAAAAAAUCAAUCAUUUGCAGGAUGUUGGAACAGUUGGAAGGUUUCUACUGCUAACUGACAUCUGUGAAGUUGUCAAGGGUAAAAAAAUUAAGUGGCUGAACAAAAUUGUAUUGUUAAUAUGGCUGAAUGUUCCAUUUCA